AAAAAAAGGGGUUAUCUUUAAUAACCCUAUCAGCCUGGUGCCGUGACCCGGAUCCCAACAUAUCAGCUCGCUGACGAGAGGAGCGGACAUGCUGAAACCCACCGGUGGUCUGAGUCAAGGACCUGUCUAAAGUCCCGGGAGGUAAUUUCCUCACUGGGCCAGCGUCAUAGGUUAACUCCUUUCGCCAACGAGGGAUUGACGGGAUCCGACCGGGAGAAAAGCACACCACAGCAAGAUCCACAAGCAGUGAGACCAGGAGACUGGGUGUUAACUGGGUGAGACAAAGGUGGGAAGGACCAUUCCAAGUGCUCCUGACCACGCCAACAGCUGUGAAGAUUGCUGAAAGACCUUCCUGGAUUCACCUCAGCCACUCAAAGUUACAGGCUAUCCCACCAAGAUGAAGGCUGUUAUGUCUAAAGGAAUGAAACAUCCAGUGUGUAUUCACUCACCUAGAGGGAAUGAUACGGUGAAGGCUAAUGGAUCGUACACCAGCUGUUCUAUUUGGAAACCACAAGUUAACUUUUCUACAGAAGGUGGCUGGUUCCUGUGUGGAGGAGACAACAUUUACCCAUCACUGCCCCUCAGCUGGUCAGGUACAUGUGCACCUGUGUUUGUUUCUGACCACACUGUCAUCAUCUAAGCUCAAGCUGUGAAGGAAAAUCAUCCUUCUAAUAGGAGGAGAAGAGAACUCAGCUCCAGCUCAGUUUUCCAGCCCCAUGAUCCCAUAUGGGGUUCCAAUGUUCCCUCUGAACAUAAACACUGGAGUACAGCGAAUAAAAUAGGACUUUCACUUUUCCAGGACCUUGGAGUUGGUAAAUCUAUGCUGAUAAUUGAGACACUGGACUACAGAAUGAAGACCAUAGUGAACAUGACGAUGGACAUUAAUAAAGGACAGAACAAACAGAUCGUGGUUGCACCUUUUACUGAAAAUAAUGACACCUAUUAUUAUUGUUUUUAUUAUUCUUUGGGUUUUUACUGCUUGUGUAAUCCCAUGCCUAAAGUCUAUGAUUGCUAAAACUAUAGGAAAUGUAAUGUUUCAAUAUCAAAUGCUUUCACAAAUCUCUCUUGAAGAAAUACACCCGGUAGUUUACCUUUUCCCUUGUUAAAUGCUUAAAAAAAUGACAGUCUCAUUGAAAAUGCAGAAUGCAAGAAAAGGAUACUUGAAGUAGGUUAAGUUAGGCUUUCAAUAAAAUGAUUAAAAGGGGGGAAAUGUUAGAAAAUGUGAAUGUAAUAAUUUUAUUUCUAUCAAGUUACA